UGACACGUCUAUUGAGGAUCAUGUUUUGCAUUACCCCAACAGGGCUGACAUUUUGACGUUGACAUGGUGGUGUCCUGAACGAGUGUACUAGUCUGCUGAUGUUUUGUAAGUGAAGCUGACUUAACGGAAUUUUAUAUUUGCCCCUUCUGCUUUUAGGAACACUCUUGCUGUAUACUGUAUAAAGUACACUGCACUUUACACUACUCUGCGCUAUGGGCAACUACAGCUCUGCUCUCACUGCAGACAUUGAACACUUUGACUCCAUUAUUGCUCAGUCUGGAAAGCCAAGGCUGCACAAAUCCCAGUCUGAGGUGCUUUUGACAGACUCAGGCUCCAAGGCCAGCCUUCCUCCCAACCCAUCCUCAGCCUCCUCCUCAUCCCUCCAGGCAUGUGGCUCUACGGUCCUUCACUCUUCACUGUCUUUGUUGUCUGAGGCGUUGCACUCUCCAGCAUCCUCUACUUUCAGGACAAUAAAGCCAGGUCCCCAGGAACCUCCGGUGCUGCAGCAGAUGAAACUGCAGCUACAUGACCUGAAAGAGGAGCUGGAUCUGCUCAGGACACAGCACAAAAAGGAGAUAAAAUUUCUGGUGAGUGAGCUUGAUGAGGAGAAGAAGGUCCGUCUGUCCCUCCAGGUUAAAAAGAUUUUGAUUGAUUGUAACGAGAACAAACCUGUGAAAAUCGUUAGGGACAUUAGGGAUCUAGCAGCAACAGCAUGCUGUUCAUUCAUAAUUAUGUUGAAUGUUGAUCUCAGACUAUGA
ensembl:lncRNA SH3 domain-containing kinase-binding protein 1-like